rnacentral:rRNA from 1 species
UACAGAGGGGGCGAGCGUUGUUCGGAAUUACUGGGCGUAAAGGGCGCGUAGGCGGCCCGCUAAGUCGAACGUGAAAUCCCCAGGCUUAACCUGGGAACUGCGUCCGAUACUGGCAGGCUUGAAUCCGGGAGAGGGAUGUGGAAUUCCAGGUGUAGCGGUGAAAUGCGUAGAUAUCUGGAGGAACACCGGUGGCGAAGGCGGCAUCCUGGACCAACACUGACGCUGAGGAGCGAAAGCCAGGGGAGCAAACGGG